rnacentral:rRNA from 1 species
GAUGAACGCUGGCGGCGUGCUUAACACAUGCAAGUCGAGCGAAGCACUUUUUUAGAACUCUUCGGAGGGAAGAGAGGGUGACUGAGCGGCGGACGGGUGAGUAACGCGUGGGCAACCUGCCUUACACAGGGGGAUAACAAUUAGAAAUGAUUGCUAAUACCGCAUAAGACCACGGCCUCGCAUGAGGGAGUGGUAAAAACUGAGGUGGUGUAAGAUGGGCCCGCGUCUGAUUAGGUAGUUGGUGGGGUAGAAGCCUACCAAGCCGACGAUCAGUAGCCGACCUGAGAGGGUGACCGGCCACAUUGGGACUGAGACACGGCCCAA